CCGCGACGUCGCGAGAAGUCCACUGAACCUUAUCAUUUAGAGGAAGGAGAAGUCGUAACAAGGUUUCCGUAGGUGAACCUGCGGAAGGAUCAUUGUCGAGACCCGAACGGACGAUCGCGAACCCGUCGAUGCUCCCGCGGGGGGCGGAGGGAGGGCGGCACCUGCUCGCCCGACCCCGCCACCCCGGGUGCCCCGUGGCCGCCCCCGCCCCGCUUCGCAGCGAGACGGGCGGCGGGAAAAAGACCCGGCGCGAUGGGCGCCAAGGAACAGUGAUGUCGGAGAGCGUCGCGCAUCGGUUCCAUGCGCGCGGCGCGACCCUUCCAUACAUACGUCGACCUUUUACGACUCUCGGCAACGGAUAUCUUGGCUCUCGCAUCGAUGAAGAACGUAGCGAAAUGCGAUACUUGGUGUGAAUUGCAGAAUCCCGUGAACCAUCGAGUCUUUGAACGCAAGUUGCGCCCAAGGCCACCCGGCCGAGGGCACGCCUGCUUGGGCGUCACGCCUCGCGUCGCUCCGCGCGCCCGCCCCCGGCCUGGGGAGGCGGCGUGCGCGGAUGCGGAGACUGGCCCCCCGUGCCUAGCGGCGCGGCGGGCCGAAGUGCGGGCCGCCGGCCGGGACGGACGCGGCGAGUGGUGGACGGACACGUACGGCGCUCAGCGCCGCCUCCGCCCCCGGCCCCAGCGGCCCAUGCAAGGAACCCAYGCCGUCGGGCGCGCGCGCCCCUCGGAACACGACCCCAGGUCAGGCGGGACCACCCCGCUGAGCUUAAGCAUAUC
rnacentral:rRNA from 1 species